rnacentral:rRNA from 1 species
UACGGGGGGGGCUAGCGUUGUUCGGAAUUACUGGGCGUAAAGGGCUCGUAGGUGGCCAACUAAGUCAGACGUGAAAUCCCUCAGCUUAACUGGGGAACUGCGUCUGAUACUGGAUGGCUUGAGUUCGGGAGAGGGAUGCGGAAUUCCAGGUGUAGCGGUGAAAUGCGUAGAUAUCUGGAGGAACACCGGUGGCGAAGGCGGCAUCCUGGACCGACACUGACACUGAGGAGCGAAAGCCAGGGGAGCAAACGGG